AAGUUUGAGAACCAGGGCUCUAGCAGAGGGCUUGUUAAAACACAGAUUGCUGCCCCUCUUUCCUGAGUUUCCGAUUCAGUAGGUCUUGGACGGAAUCAGAGACCUUACUUUAAGGCGACAGGGCUAGACGCAGGGAACAUGGGAGAGAAAGAGAGAUUAUGGCUUUAAAAUAGCCUGGGCAGGAGCUUACCUGGAAAAGAAGCAAGAAUGGGCUCAAAAACACACAACUAAAGUUGAUUUGUUCUACCAACUGACUGAAAGAGGAUGAAGCAUGAAGAAACGAUUUUCCACCAGGAGCAAAGCUGGAGGAACAUUUACUCUGAGCGAGGCUGGAACAGUGACGCUUUAAAGAAAAUUGCUGAAGGUGCUUUAGACCCAAAGUCAAAUAGCCUACACCAAAUUUGAAACAAAGAGCUACAAGAGAAAUUUCUUGGAGGUUUCCAGACUGGACUUUCCUCUCCAAGAAAUCAGGUGGGAUGCUGCCUCAGCGUGGUCUGAUGAGCAGUGCCAUGUCCGCGCCCAGGAUUCGAACUAACGAAACACUGGACCGCCUGCAGCGGAGCGCGCGAACUUAACCACUCGGCCACGGGGCCAGCCCCGUAACUCAAUUCUUUAAUUUCACUGCUGAUUAAAAUGAAGUUCAGAGAGUAAAUGACUUGGUUAAGGUGCCAAUGAAUGGAGGCCAUAGUGACAUAAUGGAAAUCCAGCUCUCCCCACUGCCCGGCAUCGCCCUUUAGCGGGAACCCCUCUGAACCCUGAUGCAGUUUGGACCAGCUGCAUUCAAUUGGCAAUGCUUGGCGCCCACUCCAGCUGGGAAGUCUGCUUUGAGGGCUAAGUAGGAGGUUAGUGGUGGAGGUCUUCAUCUUGGAGUAACCAGCAUGGAUGUGUUUGAUUUCCAAAUAAUUUAGAUUUAGGGAAAAAACAAGAAAAUACAACAGAAAAUAUAAACAAAGAAAAGCAGAGGACCCAAAGAGCUCUUGGAGAGAAAGUCAGAAACACCAUAACUGUUCUGACUCAGUGACUUUGCAAUCAAGUAAAAAAGAAUGGCCAACACUGUGAAACGCAGAAAAAAAGUCAAGUAGGAUGAAGCUUCAAACAGCCAUUGGACUUCGGCGGUUGAGGUCAUGGUGACAUUUGGAGGAGCAUGUCCACUGAGUUGUUGGGGAAAGAAGGGAAAUUCAUUUCCAAGAAAAGAGAAGAAGCAAUGAGAUAAUGAAGAAACGUGGGUAGUCAAGUUCAAGCGUCUCGUCGUGUAAAAGAGAUAAUCAAGACCUAGGGGAUAACAAGGUCAAGUCAAGGACUCAGAAGGGCAGGAGCUUCACCUGUGUUUGCUGAGCGCAAAGGGGACUUGGCGGCGUGGGAUGGACCUCGCACACACAAAAGCAAACGCAGAGUUGCGGCGAUGCCGGGAUGUGCGCACUAGAUGGCAGUAGCGGGGCCCUUUCGGCUAGGCUCGCGGUCCUAUAAGACGCUGCUUGUUUAAGUACAGUCGCAUUUAGUUGGAGCUGCAGGGGAGUGAGGGAGAGGAGGGUAGGAAGGACGAGAGCGGGAGAGCUUGAGGGAGAAGGGGGCUCGCUGUGUUUACACGAGGCACAGGCUCGAGCGUCCAUCCCGGGCCCUGGCUGGCGCUCUUGCGGAGGGAGCGAAGCUGUUCUGGCUCCGGCCGUCUUGUGGCAGGAGCUGAUCUGUCCGGGUUGCCGGAGCUGGGAGAGCCCAGAGGGAAACCGAGGGACACGAGCGGCGUGGUGCACUAGAGAGAGCGCGAGCGGCAGAGGCGAGAGCGGAGCGCGCGAGGGAGCAUCGAGCGCGGCGGAGACAUGAGGACCUACUGGCUGCACAGCGUCUGGGUGCUGGGCUUCUUCCUGUCCCUCUUCUCGCUGCAAGGUAAGUGAAACUGAUUUUUACAACAGAAAUAUGGUUACUGGACUGCUUCAGCAUGUAAUGACUUUCUCCACAGAAUAUACCACAAAGUGACAUCUCAGUAUCUUCCAUCACCUCUGUUUGAUUCGUGAGUCUUUACCCAGAAGUGCUAAAUAUCCAAUAAAUAACCUAGGAUUAAGAAAUAUAUAAAUAGCUGUAUCUCUAUCUCCAUAUCAUGUUUGGUUGUGUCUUUCUUUAAGGUAAGUGAAUUCUGUUCGAAUCUCAGUUUUAUGCAAAAUGAGGGGAAUAUUGUUCCCUUUCCAGCAAUAUCCAUAGUGAAUUUUCGUUAAAGAGCAUUCUUCUUUAAUCCAUUUUACUUCGUUUGAUUAAAGUUGGAUAUAUCUUCAGGGGCAUGCUCUUUCAUCAUUUGAGGUACACCUCUCUGUAUAUGUUGAUACUUCUGUUUUGUUCUUUCCUCCUUAAAAGACAAUCUCGAAGGUAUGGGAUUGGUUUGAUUUUUGGUGUGCUCUAGAGUGUAAAAUAUUAAAAUGCAUGACUUCUUUCCCAUUGCAUUAUCCAAAUUUACUUGGAGGUUGGAGUUUUAGACUUGAAGAAUAUGAGUUCUUAGCAGCGCAGUGUAGAGUUGGAUUUAGUUGGCAAGAUGUGAGAUACAUAGUAAAAAGAGGGAAAAGAAUACAUGGGAGUUAUUAAAUAUUUGAACAGUGACUGCUCCUAGGAAAUUGGCAAUGAGUCUUCUUGGCCUCUAGCCUGGGCUUGGCCAUUCUUGUGGCUUUUCUCACUUAGCAAUUCUUUAAUUCCUUAUCCUGCUUUCCAAAUUCAGUUUUCGUUUUCUGCAUAGACAGCAUCAGCCAUGUUGUAUUUGUCUAUUAACAUUUACUGGGGGUAUCUCUGAUGUUACAACGGAAUGACUUGUGUAUAGCUUGUGGGGAAUUUGAUACAGGUUCCCCUACCCUCUACAGGGAGGUGACACAUCUCCUUGUAUUCAUAAUAAUUAUCCUAGCUGAUGGAGCUCAUCGAGCCAGCCUCUCUGCUCACUUGAUGGGGAGAGGUUUUCUGAGGUGCUUCUGAUUCCCUGUUUGAAUUCUGUCAUCUAUAUCCAUGUGUGAAAUUAUUAAUUACAAAACACAAUGGAAUGGUCUUGCAGCAAAAGACUGAACAGCUUUACUUGAAGGUCACUGUUGGAAUUGGCCCUCUGUGAUACAUUAUUAUAAGCAUUUCAUUUUUUUCACUGUUAAUUGGGUACCUCAUUCAGUGGUUUACUUUGUGUGUCAAAAUGGGUCUUGCUAUAUAUGGAAAAUUUAGAAUGGAAGUAUUGCUGUACAUUAUGUAGCUUUUAAUUUCAAAAGUGGAAAGGCCCAAAGCACCUCUGUCUCAUGGAAAAAACAAAGCUAGAUUAAAUAGGUGAAAUAGUAACUUAUUUCUGAAGUUAUGGUGAAUAUGGCAAGAGCAAAAUUUCAUAGAUAAAAAUGAUAGCUGAUACGAAGAAGGUGAUGGUGGUGGUGGUGGUGGUGGUGAUGGUGGUGGAGUUGGUAAUGGUGUUCCAAACCUGGAAAUAUG
rnacentral:lncRNA from 1 species